rnacentral:rRNA from 1 species
GCAAGUCGAACGAUGAAGCCCAGCUUGCUGGGUGGAUUAGUGGCGAACGGGUGAGUAACACGUGAGUAACCUGCCCUUAACUCUGGGAUAAGCCUGGGAAACUGGGUCUAAUACCGGAUAGGAGCGUCCACCGCAUGGUGGGUGUUGGAAAGAUUUAUCGGUUUUGGAUGGACUCGCGGCCUAUCAGCUUGUUGGUGAGGUAAUGGCUCACCAAGGCGACGACGGGUAGCCGGCCUGAGAGGGUGACCGGCCACACUGGGACUGAGACACGGCCCAGACUCCUACGGGAGGCAGCAGUGGGGAAUAUUGCACAAUGGGCGAAAGCCUGAUGCAGCGACGCCGCGUGAGGGAUGACGGCCUUCGGGUUGUAAACCUCUUUCAGUAGGGAAGAAGCGAAAGUGACGGUACCUGCAGAAGAAGCACCGGCUAACUACGUGCCAGCAGCCGCGGUAAUACGUAGGGUGCGAGCGUUAUCCGGAAUUAUUGGGCGUAAAGAGCUCGUAGGCGGUUUGUCGCGUCUGUCGUGAAAGUCCGGGGCUUAACCCCCGGAUCUGCGGUGGGUACGGGCAGACUAGAGUGCAGUAGGGGGAGACUGGAAUUCCUGG